UUUAAUAUUUCUACACACACAGUAUACAACACCCUUUCACUAGGUGCUUCUCCCCCCUCCAUAAAUCCCAGAGAUUUCUAUAAACAAAAUACAGGAAAAUAAAACUGUUUCAACUGUCGCCGUUGGAUUUCCUCUUCAAUCCAUCUCCGCCGUUUCUUCUAUCUUCUUUUUUCUUCUUUUCUCACCUGCUAAUCGCUUGGAAAUUUGCUUCCAUGAUUGGUCGCGGUGGUCGACUAAUCUCGAUUGCUCGAUCUGAUGCUCAAGUAUCGAUCCGAUUGCCUUGAUUUCCGUGCCUUCGAGCGCUUGAAUCCCCAUCGAGCUGGGUCUUGAUAUCGGUGUUUUUUUUCAAUUUAUUCUUGCUAGUUAGAAACGUUUCUUCAGGCGAUUAUUUGAUAUUUCCUUUCUUUUAGGCGUAUGGCGAGGUAGCUUUAGUGGUUUUGGUUUUGUUUGUUGAUUUGGUUCUCAAAUUUUGAAGCUUUGUGUAUUUGAUAGUUAG
rnacentral:misc_RNA from 1 species